rnacentral:rRNA from 1 species
AGAGUUUGAUCCUGGCUCAGAACGAACGCUGGCGGCGUGCUUAACACAUGCAAGUCGAACGGAAUUAGGGGCUUGCUCCUAAUUUAGUGGCGCACGGGUGAGUAACGCGUGGAUAACCUACCCUGGUAUCUGGGAUAACAUCUCGAAAGGGGUGCUAAUACCGGAUAAGCCCACGGGAACUUUGGUUCUUGCGGGAAAAGGUGGCCUCUAUUUAUAAGCUACUGUAUCAGGAUGGGUCCGCGUACCGUUAGCUAGUUGGUAGGGUAAUGGCCUACCAAGGCUACGAUGGUUAGCUGGUCUGAGAGGAUGAUCAGCCACACUGGAACUGAGACACGGUCCAGACUCCUACGGGAGGCAGCAGUGGGGAAUUUUGCGCAAUGGGCGAAAGCCUGACACAGCAACGCCGCGUGAGUGAUGAAGGCUUUCGGGUCGUAAAGCUCUGUCGAGGGGAAAGAAAUGUAUUUGGGCUAAUACCCUUUAUACUUGUCGGUACCCCUAAAGGAAGCACCGGCUAACUCCGUGCCAGCAGCCGCGGUAAUA